rnacentral:rRNA from 1 species
UGAGGAAUAUUGGUCAAUGGGCGAGAGCCUGAACCAGCCAAGUAGCGUGCAGGAUGACGGCCCUAUGGGUUGUAAACUGCUUUUAUAUGGGAAUAAAGUGAGGGACGUGUCCCUUAUUGCAUGUACCAUACGAAUAAGGACCGGCUAAUUCCGUGCCAGCAGCCGCGGUAAUACGGAAGGUCCAGGCGUUAUCCGGAUUUACUGGGCGUAAAGGGUGCGUAGGUGGUCCUUCAAGUCGGUGGUUAAAGGCUACGGCUCAACCGUAGUAAGCCGCCGAAACUGGAGGACUUGAGUGCAGGAGAGGAAAGUGGAAUUCCCAGUGUAGCGGUGAAAUGCGUAGAUAUUGGGAGGAACACCAGUAGCGAAGGCGGCUUUCUGGACUGCAACUGACACUGAGGCACGAAAGCGUGGGUAGCAAACAGG